CCUACGGGUGGCUGCAGUGAGGAAUAUUGGUCAAUGGGCGGAAGCCUGAACCAGCCAUGCCGCGUGCAGGAAGACGGCCCUACGGGUUGUAAACUGCUUUUCCGGGGGAAGAAUAAGGCCGACGUGUCGGCCGAUGCCGGUACCCCGGGAAUAAGGAUCGGCUAACUCCGUGCCAGCAGCCGCGGUAAUCCGGAGGCUCCGGGCUUUACCCGGAUUUACGGGGGCUAAGGGGUGCGCUUAAGUGAGCGGUGAAAUACGGGGGCUCAACCUUCGAACGGCCGUUGAUACUGGGCGCCUUGGAUUCGGUCGAGGCGGGCGGAAUGCGACAUGUAGCGGUGAAAUGCUUAGAUAUGUCGCAGAACGCCGAUUGCGAAGGCAGCUCGCCAGGCCGACAUUGACGCUGAGGCACGAAAGCGUGGGGAUCGAACAGGAUUAGAUACCCGAGUAGUC
rnacentral:rRNA from 1 species